AGGUCCAGGAAGCCAGCACCGGCCUCUUCAUACAAAACACUGUUCACUGGACCAGUUGGCUCAGGACCAUCGUGGGUUAUCGCGGCGAUUUCUAUGCGACCAACGUUGACUCGCUUCUCACUCCAGCCAAUGCCGGCAANAAGGCCACUUCUUCGAUCGGCAGCCCCAAAGCCAGUAUCGUGUUCGGACCGUUUGCAAAGACCGAAUUCUUCAUCAAUGCCGGCGAGGGUUUCCACAGUAACGACGCCAGAGGC
rnacentral:misc_RNA from 1 species